GGUUGCAGCAGCGAGCUUAUAUUCGCUGGUUGCAAUUUGAAUUUUGAUUUUAGAAUUUUCACGUUUCAGUUUUGUGAUUUCGGUUAAUUUACUUUAAUUUCAAAAAAAGUUUUGUUUCUUUUACUUGUAGUUAAACAGUAUCUCGUUCUAGUUGACUGCGUUUGCUCGGAUUCUGUUCCGAUCCUUCGUACUGCCAAAUAUGUGCGCCCACAAGUUGCACAUCCGAAACGAAUUAGCAAGGAAUCAUCUUGUGCAGCGUUCUCGCGAGUUGGCUAGCAUGGAAAGCAUCGCCAUCCACGCAGAAUCUCCGCGGUCGUCACUGUGCCACCGGAGCGACGAGAAACCCACACACCGAUCAUCGACGCAGCAGCCCGGAUGUAGACCUAGCCAGUGUGAUGCGGCAGGAGCCGUUAAUUAUUUCCAGAGCCUUUGGGCAAUGGACGCACCGUCACUCGGCCCUCUUAAUCGACAACACCAGUAAUACGGCGCCUGGGUGACAGUCGGAAGUGUAGAUUUCCAGGACGUAUUAAAUGUAUCAUCGCGGCCACUCGUCCUGGAAACCGGAAGCCAACAGCAGCAAAUUUGUGAUGACGAAGGUGCGUACAACGGUGAUCGACAUCGGCAUCAUCCGGGAUUCCGGAGCAUCGCUUAAUGCACGAGUACAGAAGACACCCGAGCGUUAAUGCCGAAUUUCUUAGAAACCUUCUCGGGUUGCGUGAUGGCAAAGAAGGCUGCCGCGUGCACGGAAGGAUGGUGAAUUUUUAUUUCUGAUUUUCCUUGCCAUCUGAUUGUGGACUGAUGACUUCCAUCGGAUGCCAAAUCAGCAAGCAUGGAUUAUUUAUGGCGGCAAUUCGAAGAAAGCAAAAAGUGUCCGUGCGGGUUAUGGCAGUGACUGCGCCGACACACCGCAUGAUGGUCUCGCAGUGGAUAAUGGAUUACCGACGUCAACGGCGCGCGCGCGGAAGACGGAUUAUCAUUACACGCAUCCAUUUGCAGGAUAUAUGGGCAGUGUAAGCUUCCGCUGCUGCUCGAGAAAAUGGGAUUAAUUUGGCUGAUGCCCGGAAGUCGUCGCUUCGUGUCCCCCGGGGGAAUUUUCGUCACACGGAGAAUGGUGUUUUCCAAAUGAAAAUAAUACUUUUAUAUAAUAUUCCAUUUUUGCAUUUGAAUUUUUAAUUUAUCUUGAAUUUUGUUCGUAGUCAAUUGUUGACAAGCGGCGCCUCUUCACUGUGGUGAAUAUUAUUAUGUGCAAAUGGAUAAUAAAAAAAUUCGAUAAAAAACAAUUCCUUG